GGGGGUGAUCGGUUUCGACUUUGACGGUUGAAGUGAGAGAAGCGAGCCGUGGUCUCCGGAUCCACGAAAAAGAGCCGGAAACAAAUACAAACGCCAACGUCGAUCAAGACGAUCUGGUGCUCGCAGCCUGAUCUCAGGUUGUGAGUUCGGCCCGGUAGCCCCCGUCCUGCGGGCAUCGGUGCCAUCAUCUGCAGGGCUCGCCCGCCGCCCGUGCCGACGGGGCGGCGGGGACACGCACAGACGGCUACGGCGACUGGCAGGGUGUCGCUGCCCGCCAUCGCCCCACCAAUCCCCCAGCGACUGCGCUCGGAGAAGACUCACCGAAACGUUGAAGGACGCGGGUUCGAUUCCCGCCACCUCCACGC
rnacentral:tmRNA from 1 species